CCCUUCCCUUUUCCUUGUGAAAUUGUAUAUAUAUUUCAAUUGUAUAUAACUAAUAUAAGUGUAAAUAUAUUUAUAUAUAUUGCUUUACCUGUCUCUCUCGUUUUGAUUCUCUUGGUUUUUUUCUCUUCUCCCUGGUUUUGGGGGGUGGUGGGGGACUUCUUGUGGUGAGGUUUAGAGACUUGGCAGGGAGCCACCUUCAAACCAUAUCAACUCUGCAAACCUGUAAACUCUUAUUGUUCAAGUCUUUUUUUUUUUCCCUCUACACUUUGGACCUCUCUUCAAUACAGCUACUAAAAAAUAACAAUUUCAGAUAAAAAGCUCUUAUCAUAUUCUCUAAUGAAAACAUGAAAUUAUGUGGGACUAUAAGGAAACUCCUUCUAAAACUGAGAAAAGCCAACUUACUAUUUUUCCUCAUUCUUAGGAAGAUUUAUCAAUAUAAGAAUUAAUUUUAAACUGUUUUUAAAACAAAAUAUUUUUGAGGCUAUAUUAUUUCAGCAUUUGAACUUUUCUAAGCAAACUAAAUGACAUUGUCUAUUGGUGGACGAUUCAGAUCCAUUCCAACACCAGGUCAUUUUUUCAGUGUCCCAUGGAAAAAAAAAUGUGUUCAAAAAUAUUCAACAAUCCAGAAUGCAUUGCAGUUUAGGUGGACUGUUAAAAUGGUAGAUAUUUGUGAUAAAAUGCAUAUAAUACACAAUUUAUUUCAAAUCUAUGUCCUGUUUCUUCAACUUCUUGCCAUCAGCUAUUUUUAUACUCAGUGCUUAACAGUCUUAUGUUUUCCUGCAGACUAUUUAUAAAAAACUGCUUAAAAAAUGUACUACCCAAUUCUUUUGAACUUUAUUACAAUCAAUACAGGUUAUUCAUGGUAAUUCCUCACAUGAAGUUAAAUUUUGAGACCUAUCCUAGAAAAAAAUUUAUGUAAAUUGUAUAUGAUAAAAGAAAGCCUUAAAAAAUAUUUCAAGACUUGGGGAAACAUAAAUUUUGAUAUAUCUAAGUCCUAUGUCUUUCAUAUGUAAUUGUGCCAUCACACAAAACUUCAUUACAAAUCUUUAAUUAGUUUGAUAAAAUAUUUUCACAAAAGAUUUGUUUUCACUGGCAUUUGCUCUAAAAUCCAAAAUCAGAAGUCUGAUUGAAUAUCACUUCUCUUGAUUGAAAUUACCCUGAUCACUGAUCUAACUAUUCCACAAUGUUCAGCAUCACAAAAUGAAAUAUUUUACACUAUGGACAGCAAAAAAUCAAAGUAUUGAAGGUUAAUUAGCACAGUAUGUUCUGGAAGGCCAUGUUCUUUCUAAUAACUCUUCGAUAACACUUUUCAGUUUCAAACAAAGAAAAAAGGCUGUCUUGUUCUUUUAAGAAGAAAUGGUAUAGACUGUAAAUUCUUUAAAGAAAUUAUUUUCUGGGACAAUAGAUUUAAUUUUACAUGGUAAAUAAUUGUAGAUCUGGUGAAGGGCAGUGGAAAUUAGACUGUGGUAAAACAUUUCCAGAACAGAAUGCAAUGUUGUAUGAAGAAUUUAAUAGAACUCAUUUUGUUUGCAUAAAAUGUUAAUAUUAGAAAAUAUCAUUAUAAGUAGCAAAAAGGCUGCAUUUUUUUCUUCUCAGUAGCAUAACAGAUUAGACUUUGCUGCCAUUUUUUCACUAAAUGUACAAUCAGUUUAUAGUAUUUUGCUCAAUUCUUGUCCCUGAAAAUGCCAGCAAAAUUGAGCAGAUUCUGAACACUCAAGAUUUCAUGACACUGACUUGAGAAAUUACUGGAUUUAUUUCCAGGAAUAGAAAGCACCAACCCCAGCCUGUACCACCAAUAGAUCAUAUGUGGUUCUACAAGCUUUUCCUCCAUAAUAUCUGAAGCUAUUUGAUUUUCAAAUACCUAAAAGUAUUGCAAAAGAGUCAAACAAAAAGAAAUAUUUUUUUUUAAAAUGUAGUCCUUCAGAAUAAAACUUGCAAAAAGCAAAGCUUUUGAUUCAUGUACUAUUUAGUGUGAAGUUAUCAGAGGAUUAUCAAAAUAUGUGUAAGCUUCUACACUUUGUUCUACAGUUUUUCUCUUCAAAAUAACAACAUGCUUUAAUUUUCCUGGAUUUGUUGGCUUGAAAUGAUAAAUUUAUCAGAUAAUGGAUUUACAGGAUGUUUGUACUUUGAAGUAUGUUUCAAAAAAUAAAACAUAAAAAAAUUAAAAUCUUAAAAAUCAAAAUUUGAAAUGUAAGAAAAACUUAUUUUUAAAAAGAGGCGAAACUAAAGGAACGACAUCGAUGGUGAUUUUCAAUUUUGUGUACUGAAAUACUUGUUUUAAAAGUGCAUUUAGCUGUAACAAGAUCACAUUUCAAUCUUAAAUUAGCAGGGAAGUCAUUAAAAAAUGCUCUUAAUUUAUAUUUUUCAUUCUCUUUUUACCAUUCAAAAGUAAGCAUUUUCUUACAUGUAACUUCAGCUGUUCAUAAGCUAUUACCUGGUAUUGAUAAUGGUAAUAAUGAAAAGACUUGACUUUAAUACAACUUUUAUAAAGAAUUGGAAGAUUUUCCCCAGUAUGUACUAAGCUUUUAUUUGUAUACUGAGGAUUUAACACAUUUACUUCUGAAUUCAUGUUUUUUGUGCACGUGAAAACUGAAUUUCAUGCUGUUCUGCAUACAGACACCUGGUUUCUUGCCCAGAUCACACUUCUAAAAUUUCACGUGUAUGUAAAUAAUAUUCUAUUUGAUGUCAUCCAUGCUUUCUAACUCACAUCAAGAGCUUUGAGAGUGAUUAAUUCUUGUUCAAGGCAAAAAAAAUAUGAAGUUUCUUCUGACAUCUCUACUCACAGCUUGGCAGCCCUGGUCACAGUUCAGGUUUAUCUCAGAACUAGCUCUUAUAAAACACAGAAUACCAAGUAUAGCAGCAAGUUUACUGCUUGUCCUCAUUAUGCUUCAUUCAUGUGGUAUAUGGAAAUAGAAGAUACGAUCAACAGUAAUAGUGUAUUCCUUAAAUCCCCUUAUUAAUCCUAUAGGUCUUGAUCUGCACAAGCUUAAGGAGUUGCAGUCUGUGUGUGAAGUCCUUUACAUUCCUGUAAUGAGAAAUAAGUAGAGAGGUCCAACAAAGAUCCUAUUUCACACACAAAGAAAAAUAAUGCAGGAAGCAUUGCAUAUAUUAAAUUCUGAUUGAAGAUGUAAGCCUAAUCCAUUUUCUCCUAGAGGUAAGAAAGAGCCUUAAUGAGUCUGUAUCUGCCUCCCAGAACAAGCAAGAAAGGCGAUAUGUGUUUAUGUCUGCAACAGGCAUGAGAUGGAGGAAAAACAAGGCAUAAUUUGUCACUAAAUGCAGCCAUUUUACUGCAAUAUCAGACUCUGUAAUUAAUGAAGCCUACUCACUUUAAUUGUUCUUCCUGUAGUGUUUUGCAGCCUUAUGGAAAAAUACAUUUUACACCAAAGCUGGUCUUUUGCAGCACUUCUUUUAAGAAGAAAUGGGAUAGCACUUCUGAGAGAAAAUGUGACUAUUCAGAUCUCAAAGCAAGAGCUACACUUUCUGUAAAUACAGUUUAAUUAGUAAAAUAUUGCAUUAUUCCCUUUUUUUUAAACCAUAAUGUGUUUCUGUUCCAUCAUUCAUUUCAUUCUGGGAAAACACUCUUGAGCAAACAGCAACCUUCUUCUCAAGCUGUCAAUGUGAAGGUGUCAGAGUGGAGUUUAAAAAAACAAACUUGUGUGUUAUCUCAGAUGUACACUCUGCCCUGUGUUUAACCUCAUCUGUGAUGGCAGCUCUUCCACUUCAUUUUUUGUUACCUACAUGUUCAUCCUGGCCCACAGGACCUCACCAGCUGGAAGCAUCACUGAGCACAUGCAUGGAACACGCUGUGGUAUUGGUUUUAAAAUCUUGUCUCAGGGCCAGGAAUUUCACAACUGAAAUCCUGAAAGACAACCUUCAAGAAAAAAAACAUUUAAAUAGGAAUGAGACGAGAGGAGAUGGACUGCAAAUACCUGAGCUGUGAAGAAAGCUGAGCUCAUGCACUGUUGGAAAUGAGAGAAAAGGAGGUUUUAUAUUUGCACAACUCAAGAGUAAAACUUCAGCACUACUUUGCAACUGCUUAGACAUGAAAAUCAAUCAGCUACAGUACCUCUACCCUUAGGAAGCAGGGUUCAUUAUACCCAGCUCUUAGAGAACAUUAAUUCUCUCUAUGUGGGAUUUACUGGCUCCACGUCUACUAAUGGAUAAAACAGGUCAAGUCUUUUUCUCUGUUCAAAAUGGACAACCUGCACAGAUCUCAUUCAUACAAUUAAAAUUUCUUCUCUCACAAGUUGUGCCUGAGCUCAUAUCAUGUAAUGGGACUACCUCAUGCUCAGGAACUUUUGAGAGUGUUGGAUUUUUUGCAUCAAAACUGCAUCAGAAACCAUGUCAAUGACUUAACAGAAUAUGGUAGCAGCUGUGCUGUGUCCUCGGCCUGUACACUGGUAUUUAAAUUAUACCACUGUGUCAUCCCAGCUUUAGUUAUCUAAACAUAAUUCUCACCUAUAUAAGUUCUAUCCCUUCUAUAUUAGAAUAAAAUUGACGUAAACAUGUUGCCUCUGUAUCUGCAGUGUUACAGGAGGGCUAAGUGAACCUAAUCCUGGUGACUUACACUUUUAAGAUUCUUUAAAUCCUUAAAAGCAUCUUCCAUCCUUACUGUUUUCUGAGCACAGACAAAGCAUUUCUGUUGUACCCUCUUCAGCUUUCUGUAAAAUUUUCAGUGUUGAAAUCCUUUCUUCCAAUACUUUUUCCCCCCAUGAAUUAUAGAAUUCCUCUGAUUUCCCCCUUUCAAAUGAAAACCACACGACUUUAUCUGAGUAAAUUUAACUUCACCUUUUCCCUUUUUCCUUUUGUAGUUAUAAAAGCCCCUUGUGACACUUCUUACUUCAAACCUACCAGGAGCCUGCAAUCACUACCCUGGAAAAUCAGCAAUUUUCCCUGAUUUGGUAGGGAAUUAACACUUUAAUUUCUUUAAGCUUGAUUUGGAAUAGUUAGUUAGUUUUUUUGUUUUUUGAAUUCCACAGUGUUCAAGAAGUUGAACUCAAGUGUUUUCACCAGCCUUUAGGUACCACAUUGCUCUACAACAUUUCAAUGUCUGUGCUCAGUUAUUCAGGUUUAAAGGCUUGCAGUUUUGGGUAAGACCCCAAAAAGAGCCUCUAAGCUGGUCAUAAAUUCUUUCUUGCUAUAUAACGUGGCAUCCAACAGCUUCAUGACUGCACACUGAUGAAUUCCCCAAAUUCCAGCAAUUACUGUUGUGUCAAUGUCCUGAAGUUUCCAAAGGUGAACUUGCUUCCACUGUGUGCCAAGUCUGAAAUUCAUCUGUUCCAGGUUUGGAAGCCAGUCUGUGAGGAAUCCCCUCCCACUGAAAGCAGAGGGACUACUCUGGUGUUAAAAAGCUGUGAUUUGAGUUAAAUUAGAUUUAAAAUAUGUUGUGAAGUGCUUGCAAAUCUUUCACUGAAGUACAGCAAUUCUUUCACUAAAAAGAGUGAGAUGAGUAAAAGCAAGUAUUUGUAGGCUUAUUUUCUUGCAUCCCUCAAAUCUUGUGAAAGAAGUACCCCACUUCAUGUCAGAGUGAUAUCAGCAAAGUUUCUGACACUUACAGUCUAUUUCAAAGAGUAGAUAUAUUUUGAAAUGGGCCACAAUAUACAUGUAAUUUAUGUAUAGCCACAAAUGAUACAAUGGGAUUAUAUAUAUGAUUAGUUGUGCAGUUGAAUCUUUCUGCUGUGCCAUGCUCAGAUGAUAAAGUAAGAGGGAUUCAGAUUACUCAAUUUUUCUUUUAAGCAGCAUCUUUUCUGAGCCACAAAUACAUGGUUCUGAGAGUAAUUGAUUUUCUCUAGUAGGGUGCAUGGAUUACAUCCUAGCAGGAGAAAAGUAAUGUUAAACUGUCAGUUAUGCUAAAUAUCAGUUUUCAUUGUCACAGUGGUUUUGGUCUUCUUGCUAAGAUUAUCUUCAUCAAUAAAGCUGUAACUUUGC